UCCCCGGUAGCUCAGUUGGUAGAGCGGUCGGCUGUUAACCGAUUGGUCGCUGGUUCGAGUCCGGCCCGGGGAGCCA
rnacentral:tRNA from 1 species